AACGCACAUUGCGCCCAUCAGUAUUCUGUUGGGCAUGCCUGUUCGAGCGUCAUUUCCACCCUCAAGCCCUGGCUGCUUGGUGUUGGGGUGCUCUACAGCCUGCUGUAGGCCCCAAAAAUCAGUGGCGGUCUCACUGGGACUCCGAGCGUAGUAGAUUUCUCUCGCUUAGGGGCGACCGGUGGGUUUCCAGCCGUUAAAACCCCCAAAUUUAAAAGGUUGACCUCGGAUCAGGUAGGAAUACCCGCUGAACUUAA
rnacentral:misc_RNA from 1 species